UCAAGAUACCCAGAUUGUCUCUAGGGAUUUCCACUUUGGAUUCUUACAGGGAAGUGUACCAGAUACAAACAGUCCAAGGAUGAAGGUUCUUUCCUUGAAUCUAUACUUAUAGCUUCUUCUCACAGAAAACAAGCUGACAGGGUCACUACCCAGUUCAGUUCUUUGAGGAUCGUUGAUGUCAUGAGCAGAGAGAUGGAAGAAAGAGAAGUGCUGCCUCUCCCUCUCAUACCACCCUUUCUUCAUUGAGGAUUACCCCCAACUCAGGGCCUUCUACUUCUGUUGGGCCAAGGCAGCCACUCAGACCUCUUGGGGUGGGGACCCUGAACCAGCAGAAGAAAAAGAAAAGGCUAGGGACAACCCACUGAGGGAUAUGCAGAAGGACUCAACCAACAGCUGGAAGUACAGAGGGAGAUGCUGCAGUAGGACAUGGAGAAGGAGACUAGGGGAGUGAGGAAAGAAUGGUGGCAGAAUACAUUGAGCAUGGCAGGGUGAUGAGGGAGUGGAACCAAGAGCCGCGGAGGGAACAGUUUGAGUGGCUGCUUAGCCUGAAGGCUGGCAGGAAAUAGAUAUGAGAUCCUCCCCAUGUCCCCAAUGCAGCUAUCACCAGUGGACUCUCCUCCAUGGUACAAUGUCCUGUAGCCGAUAUAAUCACCAGAAAGUUCUGGGGUGGAAUGGAGAAAGAGCCAGUCGCCACAUGCCUGGAAUGGAAGUGUGCAUGGGAAGCUGUACCCUGUUCACUCUAACUCCCCACACAACAGUGGGGGAAGGAGAAUACAUCCACAGGCACUGUGCAAUUCCAUUGCCUGUGACAUUGCAUUGAUUGGCUUUACUGUCGGUUUUGUUUUCACUUUUAUCAUCAUUUGCAUUCUCUAUGUAGUGG